rnacentral:tRNA from 2 species
GUGGUUGUAGUUCAGUGGUAGAACACUUGCCUUGUACAUGUGAGGCACUGGGUUCGAUCCUCAGCACCACA